ACCCGCUGAAUUUAAGCAUAUCACUAAGCGGAGGAAAAGAAACUAACCAGGAUUCCCCUAGUAACGGCGAGUGAAGAGGGAAUAGCCCAGCACCGAAGCCUGCGGCAGAUUUGCUGUUAGGCAAUGUGGUGUUUGGGUCGGCUCGUGGGAUUGCCACUCCACUCGAAGUCCAGCAUUGAGUAUGGUUCCCUGGAUUUGGCCCAGAGAGGGUGAAAGGCCCGUACGAGUGGAUGUUUCAGACAUGUAAGGCAAUUCACCAGGUCGGCCUUAGAGUCGGGUUGUUUGAGAAUGCAGCCCAAAGUGGGUGGUAAACUCCAUCCAAGGCUAAAUACUAGCACGAGUCCGAUAGCGAACAAGUACCGUGAGGGAAAGUUGAAAAGUACUUUGAAGAGAGAGUAAACAGUACGUGAAACCGCAUAGAGGUAAACGGGUGGCGUCAAGCUGCAAGCCCAGAGGAUUCAGUCGGUCAGGAUGUUGUGUAUGCGCCUGGCGCAUCUAUCAGUCGGUGUUAGAUGGAGGGCAGUCCACCGGGAAACGGUGGGCCCAGCCGCAAGGCUGGGAUUUGCGUACCGGGUGGUUGCCGGAGCAUGCUGCCCGUCUGUUGGACUGUCUGGCCGAUGCACUUCCUCUGUUAAGGUGAACACCACGACCGGUGGUACUGCCAGUCUGUUGUGGCCAAGUUGUGCUCAGUCGGCAUUUAUGUCACCUGGGUGCAAUCACAGGCAAAGUCAGUGAACGGUGUUCGGGCGUUCGCGUCUGUUCAUGUUAUCGGGCACUGCUUGUCAACGGGUCGGUCUGUCUAUUGUUGUAGCCGUUGAUGGCAUGACCUGGUGGGCCAUGAUGGUAAGAAUAACUGUGCAGGGCACCGGAGUUCUCGGUCUCUAAUCCGGCUCGUGUACACGCUACAAGUGGUACGGGGUGUCGUUGCGGCCUGCCUGUGGCUGGGUCUGAUUGUCGUGUCGCCUGCACAAAGUGGGCCCGGCAGUGGCCUGGUUCUGGUUGGAGUCGUGGAUGGCGCUCUCGGUGUGUGAGUUCGGUGUGGGCCAAACAGUCAGUGGUGUAGUGGUAGACGAGCUACCCGACCCGUCUUGAAACACGGACCAAGGAGUUUAACAUGCGCGCGAGUCAUGGGGUCUUACGAAACCCAAAGGCGCAGUGAAAGUGAAGCCUCGACUUGUUCUCGGGGUGUGGUGAGAUCUUGCCGUUUCUCGCAUCUGCACUCGUGCAUUCUUGUGUCAGCACCAGGCAAAGAGCGGCAGGCGCAUCACCGGCCCGUCCCAUGAUGUGGUCAUUGGUCGGCUGUAGUUGUGGGCUUCGGCUCGUGGCUGCAGUUGCCAGUGCGUCAUCGGGGCGGAGCAUGAGCGUGCAUGUUGAGACCCGAAAGAUGGUGAACUAUGCUUGCGUAGGUUGAAGCCAGAGGAAACUCUGGUGGAGGACCGCAGCGAUUCUGACGUGCAAAUCGAUCGUCAAACGUGAGUAUAGGGGCGAAAGACUAAUCGAACCAUCUAGUAGCUGGUUCCCUCCGAAGUUUCCCUCAGGAUAGC
rnacentral:rRNA from 1 species